CCUACGGGAGACAGCAGUGAGGAAUAUUGGUCAAUGGACGAGAGUCUGAACCAGCCAAGUAGCGUGAAGGAUGACUGCCCUAUGGGUUGUAAACCUCUUUUAUAAAGGAAUAAAACGAGGCACGCGUGCCUUUUUGCGUGUACCUUAUGAAUAAGCAUCGGCUAACUCCGUGCCAGCAGCCGCGGUAAUACGGAGGAUCCGAGCGUUAUCCGGAUUUAUUGGGUUUAAAGGGUGCGUAGAUGGGUUGUUAAGUCAGUUGUGAAAGUUUGCGGCUCAACCGUAUUAUUGCAGUUGAUACUGGCAGUCUUGAGUACAGUUGAAGUAUGCGGAAUGCGUGGUGUAGCGGUGAAAUGCUUAGAUAUCACGAAGAACCCCGAUUGCGAAGGCAGCUUACUAGACGUUGACUGACAUUGAUGCACGAAAGUGUGGGUAUCGAACAGGAUUAGAUACCCUGGUAGUC
rnacentral:rRNA from 1 species